rnacentral:rRNA from 1 species
UAGUCCACGCCGUAAACGAUGUCGACCAGCCGUUGGGUGCCUUGAGCACUUUGUGGCGAAGUUAACGCGAUAAGUCGACCGCCUGGGGAGUACGGCCGCAAGGUUAAAACUCAAAUGAAUUGACGGGGGCCCGCACAAGCGGUGGAGCAUGUGGUUUAAUUCGAUGCAACGCGAAGAACCUUACCUACCCUUGACAUCCUGCGAACCCGGAAGAGAUUCCGGGGUGCCUUCGGGAACGCAGAGACAGGUGCUGCAUGGCUGUCGUCAGCUCGUGUUGUGAAAUGUUGGGUUAAGUCCCGUAACGAGCGCAACCCUUGUCCUUAUUUGCCAGCGCGUAAUGGCGGGAACUCUAAAGAGACUGCCGGUGACAAACCGGAGGAAGGUGGGGACGACGUCAAGUCAUCAUGGCCCUUACGGGUAGGGCUACACACGUGCUACAAUGGCCGGUACAAAGGGCGGCGAGCUCGCGAGAGUCAGCGAAUCCCUUAAAGCCGGUCUCAGUCCGGAUCGGAGUCUGCAACUCGACU